GCCUUCCCAUCCCCCACCCACUACGCGUGAAGUGGGGGGCUCUGACCACCAACUCCAGGGGGUGGCAGAACCCCCCCUCGCCGGGUUGUCCAAAAAAUUGGACAACCCGGCUCUUUAAAAACCCUGCAAAAAAGAGAGAGAGACGGGAGUUAGCCACAAAAAGGGGAGAGAAAGAACAAAAAGAAAAACAAGGAGAAAAGGGUGAGAUCCGGGAGAAAAGGGAGAGGCCGACGGAAGGGGAGAUCCGAGCGAAGAGAGAGAGAGAUCGACGGAAGGUUCAGAUCUGAGCGAAGAAAGAGAGAGAUCUGCCGGCAAGUAGGGAGAAGAGAGAGGGAGGUCGGCGAGAAGA
rnacentral:lncRNA from 1 species